GAAAUUGCAAGUGGGAGAAAGAAUCAAUUAGCAUCCCGACUAGUAUUGUUGGCAUUUGGGAAUGAAUAUGUAAUGCCGACUAUCUUUUUCUUUUAUGAUUUGACUCUACUAUUUUGUAAAGACAAAUGUACAUUAUGGUGAUUGAUAAAGUUGUGCCACUUUUCAAAAUUUGAUUCGUGCAUAUUGCACACGCGUAGAGGUAUAAUUACGUGCGCACCUUCACCUAAAUCACAAAUGACUGCACAUUUGUGAAUGUAUGUCAACUGUUGACUAAGAUCAAUCUUCCUCAAGUAGUGCAUGCCCAAUGUAAGAUGGAUGCGGAUGCUAAGAUAAGCAUGGUCAUACAAGACUAGACAAGAUUAAAAGUGAUCACAUUCGCGAUAAAGUUCAAGUAGCACAAAUUAAGGAUAACAUAAGAGAAGUCACUUGAGAUAAUUUGGUCAUGUCUUUUGUCGAGCACCAUAGGCACGGUUCCAUAGAUGUGAUCAUGGUGAGCAUAGGUGUUAAAACAGGACUAGAUAGGCCUAAAAUAACUUAGAUUGAAAUCUCGAAAGACCUACAAUCUAUUAGGAUCCAUGCAGAUUAGCAAAAACUAGGACAUUAUGGAAGAAAAGAUCUAUAUAGGCAAUACCUAUUCGUUGACAAUAUGUUUUCAUCAUAUUAACACUUCUACUUUAUAUCCUAUGCUUUUUUAGGAGUUGUUGAUCCUAAUGAAGAUUUAUAUGUUAGUGGAAUAUAAUGAACUUCUAGUACGUUUUAUUUAUCAAUUAUUAUUUUGUAUAAUGUUGGCCUGAGAUGAGUUUAUAUGGAGUAUUCAUAAAGCCGGCCACAACUUGUUUGGUAUUGAUUAUUUUUUGGUGCCUGAGAUGAGUUUAUAUGAAGUAACAAUCCCAAAUUGUUUGGGAUUGAGGAGUUGUUAUUGUAUUUAUUUUGUCUAUUUUUAAUUUGAGAUCAUCCUCAAGUUUUAUCUGCAUCUCCAUGUUAUAGGUGAAAUCUCUUGUACAACAAAAAGAACAAGAAUAUAAAUGCUAAAUUCAACAGUGUGGCAUCUUGAUCGAUGAUGUCUGAUGCAUUUGAGGUGGGAAUUGCAGGCAACCUUUCCUCGGGUUUCAUUGUAUCUCAUCAUCUUGUAUGUGGGAGACACCAGGUAUUUCAGUGGAGAGGAGAUAAUCUUGAAUUCCUAGGUUAAAUAUUUCGUCCUAUUCACUUCAUAAUCGAGUUAGAUAAGUCCUUUUUUCCUUUUCGACUUGGAGGAGUUAUGCAGA
rnacentral:lncRNA from 1 species